UACGUAGGGGGGCAAGCGUUGUCCGGAUUUAUUGGGCGUAAAGAGCGUGUAGGCGGCCGUACAGGUCAGCUGUGAAAACUCGAGGCUCAACCUCGAGACGUCGGUUGAAACCGUACGGCUAGAGUCCGGAAGAGGAGAGUGGAAUUCCCGGUGUAGCGGUGAAAUGCGCAGAUAUCAGGAAGAACACCCGUGGCUAAGGCGGCUCUCUAGUACGGUACUGACGCUGAGACGCGAAAGCGUGGGGAGCGAACAGG
rnacentral:rRNA from 1 species